CACGUAGGCGGAUUUGUUAGUCAGGGGUGAAAUCCCGGGGCUCAACCUCGGAACUGCCUUUGAUACUGCAAGUCUCGAGUCCGGAAGAGGUGAGUGGAAUUCCUAGUGUAGAGGUGAAAUUCGUAGAUAUUAGGAAGAACACCAGUGGCGAAGGCGGCUCACUGGUCCGGUACUGACGCUGAGGUGCGAAAGUGUGGGGAGCAAACA
rnacentral:rRNA from 1 species